GUAGAUUUAGGUUAAGUUAAAACUUUUAAUUUUCAAAAUUAAAGAUAAUUUUCU
rnacentral:tRNA from 1 species